GUAAGUACAUGUUUAUGUCAUUUUUUAAUCUAAGUAUAGUGUAGCUUUGUAAAAACUGAAAUGUUAUUGUUAAUACAACAACUAUGCUAGCUCGGUUUAUGCUUCAGCUAUCAAACCCAUACACCAAGUGACAGAAAUGAGCUAACUGGGUGUUGAUGGACAAGUAUAGAGACGAUCAGAAGGAGCUUCACUGUGUCUUUGUGAAUUUAACCCCGAGAUGAUUUUCUGGGCUACACUUAGUAACUACAAACACAGCAGCCCAAAGCCCGUCAUAACUGCCGCCACAGAGAAGAACUGCAGUUGCUGGGAAAAAAGACCAGAAAUAUACCAUCCAGGUGCCAGUGGUGAAUUCACAUGCCAGAGAGUAAGAAGACAUCUUAUUUUAAAUAUGAAGAUGAUUUUGAUCUACAUCAUCAUCGCAACUCCAGCAAUGACCGCUGUGCCACAAGGGUCUUCAGAAUGCAAUCUAACUGAACCUGGACCCCAGACGUGUUUUGGAGUUUUAGGAGAACCACUCGUUUUUUACAUACCUACUAAACCACAUAUGAAGACAAGCUUGAAAAAGAGUACAGAAAAAAUUUUAACCUUAAUAAAUGAUACAUUAAUUAGUCUCAAUGAAAAAUACAAGAAUCGUACUAUAUUUUUCCCAAAUGGAACAUUGAAACUCGAAAAAGCAACAAAAAAUGACUCUGGAGAGUACAGCAUGGAAACACACAGUUCUACUGACGGUGUGUUAUUGCACACAGUUAACAUCCAUCUACAUAUACUCGCUCCUGUGUCAGAACCAGCUGUUAUGCAGAUGUGUUUGUCACCAAAACAGAUGACAGUCAGCUGUUUCUCUGAAGGAGAUGAAGUAGAGCUCAUUUUGUCUUUGGAUGAUAAGUUGUUGAUACAGACUACAGCCAACAGUACAGAAAACAACAGCGUUUCAAAUGUUACCAUCAACUUACCUGGUCAGCUAAUGGGAAACCUGACAUGUGUUGCUCAAAACAAUGCCAGCAGAAAACAAACUAUCACCCACCUUACAAGCUGCACAGCUCCUGUGUCAGAACCAGCUGUUUUGCAGAUGUGUUUGUCACCACAACAGAUGACAGUCAGCUGCUCCUCUGAAGGAGAUGAAGUAGAGUUCACCUUGUUUUUGGAUGAUAACUUGUUGAUAAAAACCCAACCUAGCAUUGCAGAAAACCGCAACAUUUCAAAUGUUUCUAUCAGUUUACAUGGUCAGCUGCUGGGAAAGCUGAUGUGUAUCGUCCAAAACAAUAUAAGCAGAGAACAAACCAUCAUCCACCUUAUAAGCUGCACAGGUAAUAUAAAAAAAAUAUUACGUUCUGUUAUAUUUAAAUAGUGAUUUAUUUUAUUAUUUUAUUUAGUAUAGGUAUUUAUAGGAGUUUUUCUCAUUUUAAAUGAUUUAUUUUAUUUAUUUUAAAUGCUGAAGCAUAAAUUGGAAGUACGUAUGACUUGAAGACUCUUGGCUCUUGACGGAGCCGGUCGCACUUUCUCCUUCUCCCUCUCCCUUAUCUUUCCUGCUUGGCUUCUCAUGUCUGAGGUGUUUUUUCUGUUCUCAAACUGAUCUCCCUGUUGGAGCGCAGUCUGGGGUUCUUUUUUCUCCUUGUCUUUCCUCAUGUUGUGCAUUUUGCAUUGUUAUACCCCUCUGACCUGUCUUCCCCAUGUGAUGUAGUGUAAUGUAUGUAUGGUCGGAAGGGUAAGAUGGCCCUGGCAAAGGUCGGCAGCCUUAACCCAAUUUCCUUUGGGGUCAACCUUCGGGAUCAAUAAAGUUUUAUUGAAUUGAAUUGAACAUUGUAGCCCAGUAAACUAUAUUUACAUUAUUUCAGUAAUUUCUUCUUAAUGGUUUUAAUUUCUAGGUAAUAUUUCUGACCACUGCAUUGUGACUGUGGCUGUGGUAGUAAGCGCUGUUGCCAUUCUACUCAUUCUGGCUGUGUUUCUUGGUAUCCGGAAAUUCAAAAACACAACUGGCAUUAUGACUGUUAAUGAAGGUAAGAUUUUUAUAUUAAAUGUGUUGUCUUUAUCAAUUUUGUCUCAAUGAUCACCACACAGAAGUAUAUGCUAAAUUGUUAUAAAACAGUUAGUGGCAAUAAUUUGUUGGACAAAAGGAUAUUUUUGUAGCGUUGUAGCAACUUCUGUACAGGACCACAAUUGAUUUCAACCCAAACAGUCAAUAUGUGAUUGAAAUGCUGACUUUCACCUUUAAUUCAAAGAAUUUUAUAAAAGUUUUUCAUUAAAUAUUUAGUAAUAUUUACCCCUCAUUUGUAAAAGGCUGAUGGGUUAUUGUCUUCACCCUGUUAAGCAGAUGGGCAGGCGGGACACCCAAGUUUGUGAAUGUGAUAAUUUGAGAAUAAAGAAACGUAGCAAAUGUAUCAAAAGUUAAUUAAAGUCAUAUCUACAAAAAAUCUUGGGUGAGUUCGAAUCUCAGUGAAAUAGACCUCAAAAUCAGAGAUCAAGUUUUCUGAAAAUCUUGUGAAUGUGCUUGUGAGAACAAAGCGACGUGGGAUUUUGAAAGUGAUAUGAUAGGCUUUUUUCUACGUGGACACUGAGGGUAACACUGGCCACCACCAGUAUUUUUUUUAUUUCAGUCUCCAGUUUUCAAAGGAAUAAAAUUUUACUGGAGAAACUAACAUGAUCUAAUUCAAUCUUGCAGUAUGACUGCCUACAACCCAUAGAGCUUACAAUGCUACUUUUUCUUUCCUUGUGUUGCCACAAGCCACGUGUUGCUAGUUUGCAGCUUAUCAAUUUAAUUAUGUAUUUAAUAGUUGAAUCCCGGCAGAGAUGGGGUUGCUUCAUGAUCAUUCUACUUCUAUCAGCAGUCACAUCAUCAGCAAGCAUGAUUGACCCAUUUGCCCAUAACAUUACUUUCUUUUCUUUUUUUUCUUUUUCUUUUUUUUCUUUUUUUUGCCUGUCCCGUUUGGCUCUUUUGCCAUCAGAAUUAUUGUCUAAAGGCAAAGAAAGAUGCCCAACGGAUUUACUUUACCAAGUUGACCAUCCCAGCCUUGCUGUAAUGGUCUAUUUGAUUCACCUUUUAUUGUUUAUUUUAUUUUCACUUGCUGAAUACGGGACAGACUUGGCUGGGGGAAAGAAAGAGGGAAAGAGAAACAGCUGAGAAGAGGGACGGGGGAGAAGGGCAAAAAACAAAAACCAACAGAAUGGGCAGAAAAAGAAAAUGCAUAUAUCGAUCACCUGGAUCACCUGUUGAGAAAGAAAAAAGAAAACAAGCAGAAGUAAACAAGAGUAAUAGAAUAAAUAACAUCACAAUGAUAUAUGGGAAUAUGACAGUAAAUACUAAAUAUUAAACAUUAUUGUGCAGCACGUGCUCCUACCCCACAGUGUGCUUUGGGGUAGGAGCCAAAAAGGGUGUAGUUUGUACACAUAACAUUACUUUCACCUAGUAAUACAGUCUGGUAUCCUUGGGCUCAUGAGCGAUUUCACUCCUUUUCCAUACUUUUCUCCUCCCUUCUGAUACAAGUUAAUAUUGGUUUCAUCUGUCCAGAAAAUUUAUUUCAGAAAUGUGCAGGCUCUUUUUAGAUCAAGCCUCACCUUACUCUGCUGGAGUGUAACUAUUGGUUUGCAGCUUGUAAUGAACUUGUUAUGUUGUCCAUUUCCACCCCGAAAGGUACUUUACUUUUUGGGCACUCUUCCUUAUACUCACAUUUAAAAUGUACAGCAAAAAGCUUCAAUUACAAAUUUAGAGCUUUUGUAUGAUUUUAGAUAUGAUGUCGGCUUCAUUUUUCAGGAAAUAAAAAGGAAACAGAACUUGGCCUUAAUGCAGCUUGUUAAUCAAUUGUCUAAAUAUCCAGUUUUGAGCCUCUGAAAUUGAGGGUCUAUUUUUUUAAGCCUUGAAUUAAAGCUAAUUAAAACUGAAGUCUUUCCUUCAAUCACACGUAUUUGUUUUAUUUGAAAUCCACUGUGGUGAUGUACAGAGCAAAAAAUACAAAUAUUGUGUCAUUGUGAAUCUUUGUGAAAACUUUCUUGUUUUCAAUGUACAACAUCAGCGUCUUUUGAUUACACAAGACACAGUUUUCUGUUUCUACUUCUUUCAGAUGAAGCUGAAGAGGACGUUGUCUACUCAGAUAUUAGACUGAAGCAGCUUGCAAGAGAAUCAAGAGAAACACCACCUAUUUCAAAUCAAGAUGAAAGUUAACAUUCUCCUAAACAGUCUGACAUUCUGAAACCUAAACCCUAACAUGUUGACUUUCAGUCAACUGUCUAAUAAAACUAUGGCACUUUAGCAAUUCCAUCUUUGCAGUGAACGUGAAGGUAAACAUAUUUAACAAGUACUCACUGGAUUAUUAAUUUUGAAGGAAACAUAAAGGGGGGGAAAGUUAUUUAGAAGGCAUUUGAUAUACAUGAAAUACUUAUUUAUACUUAUUUAUAAAUGCUUUAUAUUUGAACUACAUUUUAUUUGACAUAAUUUAAAUAAACUACAUCAACCUUGUAAAGGUUCUAACCAACAUUUAACCUUGGAGAUUAAAUAAAAGGCUUUGAUCAGUGAUGGUGCUUUCCUUGUGUUGUGUUAAGCAGACGUGGGCUGUUCAUUUUGUUUGAGAUAAAAACAUCAGGGCUACUUUUUCCUGUGUUGUCAUGACAUUAAAACCACAAACUAUAUCCUGUUUUCAC
ensembl:lncRNA